GAGUUUGAUCCUGGCUCAGAGCGAACGCUGGCGGCAGGCCUAACACAUGCAAGUCGAACGGGCGUAGCAAUACGUCAGUGGCAGACGGGAGAGUAACACGUGGGAACGUGCCCUUUGGUUCGGAACAACCCAGGGAAACUUGGGCUAAUACCGGAUAAGUCCGUAAGGAGAAAGAUUUAUCGCCAAAGGAUCGGCCCGCGUCUGAUUAGCUUGUUGGUGAGGUAACGGCUCACCAAGGCGACGAUCAGUAGCUGGUCUGAGAGGAUGAUCAGCCUCACUGGGACUGAGACACGGCCCAGACUCCUACGGGAGGCAGCAGUGGGGAAUAUUGGACAAUGGGCGCAAGCCUGAUCCAGCCAUGCCGCGUGGGUGAUGAAGGCCUUAGGGUUGUAAAGCCCUUUCGGCGGGGAAGAUAAUGACGGUACCCGCAGAAGAAGCCCCGGCUAACUUCGUGCCAGCAGCCGCGGUAAUACGAAGGGGGUUAGCGUUGCUCGGAAUCACUGGGCGUAAAGCGCACGUAGGCGGAUUGCUAAGUCAGGGGUGAAAUCCUGGAGCUCAACUCCAGAACUGCCCUUGAUACUGGCGACCUUGAGUCCGGGAGAGGUGAGUGGAACUGCGAGUGUAGAGGUGAAAUUCGUAGAUAUUCGCAAGAACACCAGUGGCGAAGGCGGCUCACUGGCCCGGUACUGAC
rnacentral:rRNA from 1 species